CGUGUAGGCGGUUUGUUAAGUCUGAUGUGAAAGCCCCGGGGCUCAACCUGGGAAGUGCAUUGGAUACUGGCGGACUUGAAUACGGGAGAGGGCAGUGGAAUUCCUGGUGUAGGAGUGAAAUCCGUAGAUAUCAGGAGGAACACCGGUGGCGAAGGCGGCUGCCUGGACCGAUAUUGACGCUGAGACGCGAAAGCGUGGGUAGCAAACA
rnacentral:rRNA from 1 species